CAGUAGCGCGGUAAUACGAAGGGUGCAAGCGUUACUCGGAAUUACUGGGCGUAAAGCGUGCGUAGGUGGUGGUUUAAGUCCGUUGUGAAAGCCCUGGGCUCAACCUGGGAAUUGCAGUGGAUACUGGGUCACUAGAGUGUGGUAGAGGAUAGUGGAAUUUCCGGUGUAGCAGUGAAAUGCGUAGAGAUCGGAAGGAACAUCUGUGGCGAAGGCGACUAUCUGGGCCAACACUGACACUGAGGCACGAAAGCGUGGGGAGCAAACAGGAUUAGAUACCCGCGUAGUCCCUGUCUCUUAUACA
rnacentral:rRNA from 1 species